rnacentral:siRNA from 1 species
GAAUGCCCAAUGACGCCUUCAGC